GAAAAAAAUAUUAUUUCCAGACUUUCUUGUGUUCAUGAAGUGUUGGUUUUCCCGUUGAUUCUGGGUAUUUGCUGAAAGAUGGAUCAUGUGUUUUUCAUAUGUUGGUUGU